rnacentral:rRNA from 1 species
UACGGAGGGUGCAAGCGUUAAUCGGAAUUACUGGGCGUAAAGCGCACGCAGGUGGCUGAGUCAGUCGAUUGUGAAAGCCCUGGGCUUAACCUAGGAAUUGCAGUCGAUACUACUCAGCUAGAGUAUGGGAGAGGGCAGUGGAAUUCCCGGUGUAGCGGUGAAAUGCGUAGAUAUCGGGAGGAACAUCAGUGGCGAAGGCGGCAGCCUGGCCCAAUACUGACACU